ACCUGACCAUCCCUCCCGUCCCACAGGCUGAUUUCUGGGGAGGAUAAAAGCUUUUGGAGACACGGACCUGCUCCGGAUUGAACACCUGCUCUUCAUGGAACUGACUUCCAGCCAGCUGCAUGCAGUGACAUCAUUCAGGCUGUCUUAAAUUCUCGUAUGUCUCCUGCCAAAACUGAGAUCCUGGGACAAUGUCUUCUACACUUUGCACAGGGAUAAUCGUUAAUUACGAGAUCGCAUCAGCCGGUACACAAUUCUCUUUAUCAGCCAGUACAAACACAGACUAUCACAGAUGGAAGGGUUUUUCCAGCUGGAAACGUGAAAAAUUUCAGUCCGGUGGAUCGGUUAUCCCUACUGCAAUAACAGGCAGCUGGAAUUCUGCAAGCCUUGUGGACUCUGCUGCCCUUAUCCCUGUGCCAGUAGGGAAUAUUCCAGCUCCCCCCUUGCUUUCCAAACGAGACAGACUGCUCCGAGAGGGGUGAGCGGAGAUGCACAAAGCUCCCCGCCCAGCCCCACAGAUGUUUCCCCAGGAACAGCUGCAGGAACAUUGCCAGCAUAGUUCUGUCUCGGGAUACCGCAUCCAGGCACGUUUCACUCACACACCCCUGCUCCCUGCCAGAAUAAAUAAUCCAGAUCGACUUCCUCAGAUGCACCCACAGCAAACGGGAUCCUAAUCCACACACAGGAGUGCAAAUUAUCCAUUGGGAAAGGCACAUCUACAGCCAUCACAGCAACACUAUUCUUUUUGUAAGGUUGUGAGCUCCUACAGUGCUGAUAUCAACUCCCCAGGACACAAAACACCCCAUUAUAAAUAUUGAUCUCUACAGGAAAGCGUAGCCACAGCCAGGCUGCGAGACACGGGAUGCGCAAGGAACAGGCGAGACCAUGACACUUCCGCCGAGGAUCGGCACAACUCGGGGCUUACUGACAGUUAACUCAGAAAUAAACACCUUUUGCCGUC